GACGAACGCUGGCGGCGUGCCUAAUACAUGCAAGUAGGACGCAGUUGCGAACGGGUGAGUAACGCGUAGGUAACUGCCUAUUAGAGGGGGAUAACUAUUGGAAACGAUAGCUAAUACCGCAUACUAGUAGAUGGACCUGCGUUGUAUUAGCUAGUAGGUAGGGUAAUGGCCUACCUAGGCGGCGAUACCUAGCCGACCUGAGAGGGUGGACGGCCAAACCGGGACUGGGACACGGCCCAGACGCCUACGGGAAGCAGGAGUAGGGAAUCUUCGGAAAUGGGGGGAAACCUGAACGAGCAACGCCGCGGGAGUGAAGAAGGUUUUCGGGUCGGAAAGCUCUGUUGUUAAGGAAGCGGUACUUAACCAGAAAGGGACGGCUAACUACGUGCCAGCAGCCGCGGUAAUUC
rnacentral:rRNA from 1 species